CGGUACGGCUCUCACAAUGAUUGUGUCACACACACACACACACACCAGUCGUGUCACACACUCAACAGCAGCGUCACACGAUUGUGUCUCACACACACUAGCAUCACACUCUCAAUAGUAGUGUCACACACACACUCACACACUCCCACACUCACGCUCACACUCACACACACUCACGCUCACACUUACCCACCUCCUGUUACUUAUCCAAAGCCACGCUGGUCUCACAAUGAUUGUGUCACACACACACACUCACGGUGUCACACACUCACUCACACACACUCACAUGUACACACUCACACACGCUCACGCACCUCCUGGUACUUAUCCAAGGCCACGCUGCUCUCACAAUGACUGUGUCACACUCACACACACUCACACUCACAUUUACACACCCACGCUCACACUCACACUCACACACUCACACUUACACACUCACACUCACACUCACACUCACACUGACACACUCACACACCUCCUGGUACUUAUCCAAGGCCACGCUGGUCUCACAAUGAUUGUGUCACUCACACACUCACACUCACACACUCACACUCACACUUACACACUCACGCUCACACUCACGCUCACACUGACACACUCACACACCUCCUGGUACUUAUCCAAGGCCACGCUGCUC
rnacentral:lncRNA from 1 species